CCUGAAGCUCUGUCUGAUUAUAAAGGUAAUACCUUCCAACAGAAAUACACAGCUGGGUUAUAGGAAAUGGAUAACAGAUGAUUCCUAGGAAAAUCAAGGUUUCAGAUGAAAAACCUGCACAAUUUCUGGGGGUGCAAGGUUUCCAGAGCCAGGAUUCUGGAAGGCUCCAGCCUCCAGCCCUCCCUCCCUAACCCAGAGGGAGGGCAAGAAGCAAACUAAAUGGGUUCUGAAGUGGGAAACAAAUUGGAUUUUUAAAAAAUGCUCUGGUUCUAAUGAUCGAAGAGGUUAUUCAUAAUCCUGGAGUAGAAAGCGUAUCUUGAAAUCUAUGUUUUGUGUUGACAGCUUCUCCCUAAUGGGCAAGAUCUCACACAUGAUAGAGCCAUAAAAUGUGGCACUCCUGGCUGGCCCUGCUGCUUGUCUGAUAAGGGAGAUGGAGGGACUCGCCAGCACAGGCAGAGGGCCCUGGGUCUUACCCCGCCCCUGUGCCUCCUCCCGACUCCAGCUGGUCUCGGCUUCCAGCAUGUUGGAAGGCCUGUUCUGCAGAACCCAAAGCCCGUGUUUUGCAAUGAUGAGGAUUCCAUGUUCAAGAAAGGCUGGGAAAUCUCUCCCCUCCUAGGGAUUCAAAACACCCAUGAGCACAGUCAUGGCUGUGAGGAGGCUUCCACUAAAGAAAACCUGGUAGCUCGCAUUUCCCCGGGACACAUUGCUGAAGCUUGUCACGGUGGUGAGAGAGACCUGUGGUCUCCUAGGAGGCGUGGAGCAGCCUUCCCACACUCUCUGCACAUACACAUCCUCGGGGGAUCUGGUCCAGGGGCAGAUUCUGACACCCCAGGCCUCAGCUGAGGCUCCAGACGCUGUGUCUCUCACAAGCCCUCGGAGGACAGUGAUGCUGCAGGUCCACAGGCCACAGGGAUCCAGAGUGGCUGCUGAGGAGAAGACAGAGCAUAAAGAGGUUAAACCAUGCCUAUGGUCACCCCUAUCGGUGAAGCUGAGAUUUGAAGUGGCGUUUGGACCCCAGAGCUGAGCUGAUUAUCACCAUGACAUUCAACCUUCCAGAAUCCUGCAGACCCUCAAUAGGGUGCCCUGCCCUCCUGUCCAUGCCUGGGCCUUCCAGGACUAGCAGAGUGGUGUAGGACAUUCAGGGAUGGGCCAGGGCAUCCUUGUACGUGGCCCCUCCCUAGGUCACCCCCAAUCCCUGCUCUGGUUGGCUCCACACUUUUACAUGAAGCCCCGCUGCUCCCAGAUGGGGGAUUAGACCAGGGGCUCCUGUUCAGCUUUUCAUGCAGGAAGACUACUGAGCAGGGGCUGGCUGUGGAAGAGGGGAAAGUUGCCACCCUUGUCUAAAAUUGCCGCUGCGGGAUGGAGAGGAAGAUUCCUGCAUACCCAAGGAGAGGUUGAGGCUCCAGGGAGAAGGAGGGAGCAGCGCUGCCUGAGCACAUGCCCCCAGCGUGUGGGCUGCUGGGCAGAUGCCAGCAUCCCCAUCAUUUAGGGCCUGAAUAAACAGCCUUGUUUUACUCUGCUCUUUGCUGAGCAAAACAGGGCUCCAAACCCCUCCUGGCCAUCCUCAAAUCUCUUCCAUUUUCCAAAUCCUCAAACGCUUGAGGCUGUAUCUCUUUGGCCUGUCCACCAUAGAAAACAAGAGGCUGGUCCCUUCCCAGGCGAGGAGAGCCUCCCUCCCGGUGCUCCUGCGGUCGCCACACGUCUCCGUGGCUGACUCUUUAUAGCAAGGUGCAGACACCAGGGAUGGGGGUUCAGAUGUGUGCACAGCAGGGUCUUUGGGGUCAGGGAGCUCUUCAGGGCAGGCAGAGCACAUUCUCAGGCCAUUAGCUGGUUGGGCCAGAGUUCACCUGCCACCACCCUGCCCCCAGACCAGCAUCACGGCAGGGUCCCUGGUCCCUCAGAGACCCCUUGAGAGAGCAAUCCCCACCACGGUCCAGGAGGUAGCUGCAAACCUGGAAAAACAGGACAGACUCCAGGAGAAGCACAUAAGCCAAUUAAGAGCCCAGGCUGGCCCGGCGGCUCCAGUAGCACCUGCUCUCAUCUUGUGAGGUGCAUGCGGCUUGGGCUGCUGGGAAGGUACAGUGCGGCCUAAUUACACACUCCUCCGUGACAGGCGGUGUCAAAAGAUUAAAGGAAUCAAACCAAGUGGCUCUCCAGUGGCCCCUCCCCCAGGAACCAGAGCUGCUGCGUGAAGGUGAUUAUGGUACCAACGUAGUGGUUAGAAAGAUAAUUUUCUCUGGGCCCUGUGCCUGCCGCCUCCUCCACUGAGCUGCGCUUCGGCACUGCGACUCGGCCACCUUGUCUGGGCUUCACAGAUUCCUUUUCUUUUUUGUUGGCACAGCUGAGCAGAAGGAAACAAACUAAGCAGCUCUCCCUCCACCAGCCUCCCACCCCACCACCCACGGGCCUCUCCUCCUCUUCCCUCUCCUCCCCUUCCCCUACCUUCCCCUCCCCUCCCCUUCCCUCUCUUCCUCUUCCCCUCCCCUCCCUUCCCUUCCCCUCCCCUCCCCUCCCUUCCCCUCCCUUCCCCUUCCCCUCCUCUCCCCUUCCAUCCCCUCCCCUCUCUUCCCUUUCUCACCCCUCCCUUCCCCUUCUCUCCCCUCCCUUCCCCUUCUCUCCCCUCCCCUCCCUUCCCUUCCCCUCCUCUUCUUUCUUUCUUCUCCUCUCUCUCCUCUCUCUUCUCUGUCUCCUCUCUCUCUUCUUUCUCUCUCUCCUUUCUCUCCUCUCUCUCUCUCUUUGCUUCCCAUUCUGUUUUUCUUCCUAGUCAUCUCCAUUCUGUUCUGCCCCUUUCACCUCCUGUUUGGUCUCUGCAUCUCUUUUCCUUCCCCUCCUUAAAGACCUGUCAGAGUUCAAGGAUAAGGAAGCCACUGUGGGCUGCUUCCUGUUUUUUUGUUUUUGUUUUUUUUUUGUUUUUUUUCUUUUCUUUUUUCCGCUCUGAUGGUCUUUAAAAUAAUAACAGCAAUAAUCAUGACCAAUAACCGUCCUCGCCUCUUGCCAGCCCGUGUAGAUGGCUUCCCUUGCAUCACUUAUGAUACGUUAUCAGAUAAGGAAAGGGAGGACCAGGGGCUCUGCACUUGCCUCAGGGUUUGUGGCUGGUGAAGGCUGGAACCAAGGCUGUGAGCUCUGCCUGUUGACUGCAGAGAAGCUACCGACCUACUCAGGCCUGGGGAAGGAGGAGGGAGGGAUGGUGGGAGAGGAAUAUUUGAAAGCAAGAUGGGGGCGAGGCAUGAUGGCUCAUUCCUAUAAUCCCAGCACUAAGGGAGGCUGAGACAGGAGGAUUGCCUGAGGCCAGGAGUUCAAGACCAGCCUGGCCAACAUAGGAGACCCCGUCUCUACCAGAAAAAAAAAAAAAAGAGAGAGAAAAAAAAAAAUUAGCCAGGUGUGGUGGCACAUACCCGUAGUCUCAGCUACUUGGGAGGCUGAGGUGGGAGGAUUACUUGAGCCUAGGAGUUUGAGACCAGCCCAAGCAACAUAGUGAGACCCCAUCUCUACAAAAAAAAAAAAAAAAAAAAAAAAAAAAAAAAAACGAAACAGGAGGACCACCUGAGCCCAGGAGGUUGAGACGGCAGUGAGCUGUGAGCUGUGCCAUUGCACUCCAGCCUGGGUGACAGAGCAAGACCCUGCCUAAAAAAAAAAAAAAAGGCAAGAUAAGAAGGCACCUCUGCAAGUAUCUCCUCCAGGCAGAGAGGACUGAGUAUCAGUGAGGGAGGGGAGCAGGGUACCGGGACCCCCACUCCAGACUCUGCCAUGCCUCUGCCCAACUUUGCUGCAGUGACUUUGGGCAAGCAUCCCUGAUUUACCCGGCUAUGGGCUGUCACCCCUGAGGAGGGAAUGCCAUGUCCCUCAGGUGAGCAGAGGAAGGGUUGAGAGCUGGUCGGAACCUUCAGUAUGCAGGGAGGGGCUGGAGCUCCUGGAAGACAUGUGACUUGCCUAAGGUUAUUCGCAGGAUGGGCCCAGAGCUCCACUCUCCUGCCCUUCAGCCUGAGAGUCCUCAUUCACUUCUCUGCACCUUCAGUAUCUGCAGGGUCUUUGCCAAAACCCAAACCUCCACAGGGGUCCUCUCACAUCCUUUCCAUGAUGACACGGUGACCAUCUGUGAGUGGGAGGAAAGACGCCCGGAGGGGUUGGUGGAAGUGGGCGCUCCCUCACAAUGACUUCUGCUUCUGAGGGUGUGAAGACACAGCUUGGGAUUUCAGGCGGAGGGUUUGCUAAUGUCACUACAGCACACACCUGCUGGGAAUGGUAUCUUGGCGGGGGAAGGGGCACGGAGCGGAAGAGGGGGAUGCAAAACCCACCUCUUUCUGGUCUCUUCCCUCCCAUUUCCAUCCUACUGCACUUGGAAACAGAGCAUCAGGGAGGGAUUAGGGAUUUAAAAAGUGGCCGUUAGAGGAAGGCAAGAGUGGCCCGCACCAGCUACUGUGGAGUGUCUCCAUUACCAUAAUAACUAACCACUUAAUAACUGGCUUCCCCACUAAUUCUAAUUGAAACACAUAAUGAUAUUUCCGGGCCGAGAGUGGCAAGCUCAAGUCUCGGCAGACAUCUCCAGGCGCACCCCCCCAGCUUCACGUGGCGAAAACUGUGGGCUCUCCUUGGGUAUUCUGUUGGAAUAGAUUCGGGCAGCCGACACCAGCUCUUGUACGGCUGCCAGGAACCACAGCUGAUGAUAAAAGCCAUUAAAGGUCAGCUGGGAAUAGAAAACCAUUUAUGUUAAAUGUCACAGAUUAAGCCGCAGAGUGGGCCUUGGGCAGGGAGCAAAGGGUGAGAUGCGAAAUGCUGGUCACUGUGCUGCCUCUGUAAGGUCUGGGGCAGUGGGGGGGAUUGAAGGGUGGAGGUGAAGCCAGGGGCAGGGGAGCACUUGAGUUCCUGCUCCCUCCAGCCUGGGGAGGCAGGUGGAUGCUGGCAGCCACAGGUGAUUAGGUGAUUGGCCAGGCUGGCCGCCCUGAGGUUGCUAGGCGACCUGAGGGCAAGGUGUGGGGAGAGGAUGGAGUGGGUCUGUGUGGCAUCAUCGCAGAAGGGGACCCGGGCGGUCUCUAGAAGGGCCAAUGAGAUGGAGGCUGCUUCCACUUACAGAGGGACCCUUGCAGGCUCUUUUUCUGGAGUGUGGUCAGCGGGACAGUGUGGGUGUGCCUAAUCAUGACUGAGGAUGAGUGUGACACAAGUCAACUGCUCACUGCAGCCACAGCCAGGAAGUCACAGAGAAACAAACACCACGCCCCCUUCACUACCUUCCAAUGGCCUCGGAAGCUGCAGUUUGAAGGACACAGGAGGGGCUCAAGUGGGAGGGGUUUCAGGGCUCAGAGGAGCCUGGGCCAGGCCCUAAAGGGUGGCUCCAAGAGAACUGGGGACUCUGGUUCUAUCGCCGCCUCAAAAGUGCCUGUGCUCCUUAAACCUGAACCUGAGUAUCCGGCAAGAGCCCCUCUGUGCAUCUCUGCUCCGUCCUUUGGCAAAACUCACCUGAGAAGCCGGUUUGUUGACAGGUCUGAGAAACCCCCUGGAAGUUAAUUAGAUCACUCAGAUCCCACUGAAACAAUGACUACCAUCCUUGGUGACCUACCUGGGGAGUGGUUCACUUUUGCUGGUUGAGCCAGAGACUUCGUUUCCGUGCUUCUCCACCUCCCACCUUGCCUCCAGAUUGCCGAGCUGUUGCUGUGUGCACAGGGAAUGAAGGCUCAUUUUAAUAUUGGUGCAAGCAGACAUCAUUGGGAAGGAGAGAGGCAGUGCAAGGGACUCAGAGCACCUAGAAGAGCAACCAGGAAGAUGGGGAAGGCUUCAGAAAGGCAACAUUGGAACCACCGGGCCUUCCAUAGUCGAAAGGAGAAGGCUGGAGAGGAAAGUGUGGGCAAGAUGGUAAAGAGCCUUGGAUACUGUUCUUAAGAAGAGAGUUGAAAGUUAAUUCUGAAGGCAAGAGAGAGGUAUGUGCUGUUUUGGGGCAGGAGAAUGAGAGGGCUUGUCCUGGAUUUUAGAAAGAACACUCUAGAAGCUACAGGGAGGAUGUGCCAGACACAGAGGUUCUCAACCUUGACUGCAUCAAAAUCAUUUGGAGGGCUGGUGGAAACACGGAUCACUGGUCCCUGCAGCCCAAGAGUUUUUAAUUCAGCAAGGCUGGGCUGUGGCCAGAGAAUUUGUAUUCCUAACAAGCUCCCACGUGCUGCUGCUUUGGGUCCUGGGACCACAGUUUGAGAACCACUGUGUUGGAGAGAGGAUCUGUGCAGGAUCUGGAAGCAAGGAGAGCAGGUAGAAAGAAAUGGGAAUAAAAUGAGAGAUGAUGAGGAGACUGGCUUGAGAGACCACUGAGGUCUCGGGGCAGGCAGAUGGCGUGGUGCAGAUGGGGAGAGGCAGGGCUCAGAUGCAGGGAGUGGGUAGCAGAAUCAUGAUAUGGCUUUGGAGGGGCUGAAGCAGCAGAAGAUGGUCAGGACAAGGAAGUGCAAAGCCAGGAAAUGGGAACAGGAUCCCAGGCAGGGCUGAGGUCCCAAGGGAGCAAGGACAGAGCCAGAGACUGGGGCUGGGGUCAGAGUUCCAACUCAUUUGGCUGAGGAGGUGAGCAGUGGGCCAAGACUCCUACACUCUCUGCUUUUAGGCAAUUAGGCCUCAUUUCUGGGAGAAAAACACAGCUACAAAUGGGCCUGGUUUUGCAGGUCAGGAGCACACAAGGGCGUGAAUCCCACAGAGCAGGCCCAGAAAUAGCGUGGGAGAGACUCUGAUUCACUGUGUGCAGUGAGGUGCCAGCCUAGUUAAAGCACCCUGUCGGCCAGGCGCGGUGGCUCAUGCCUGUAAUCCCAGCCUUGGGGAGGCCAAGGCAGGCGGAUCACCUGAGGUCAGGAGUUUGAGACCAGCCUGGCCAACAUGGUGAAACCCCGUCUCUACUAAAAAUACAAAAAUUAGCCGGGCAUGGUGGUGGGUGCCUGUAAUCGGGAGGCUGAGGCAGGAGAAUUGCUUGAACCAGGAAGUUGGAGGUUGCAGUGAUCCAAGAUCACGCCACUGCACUGCAGCCUGGGCAACAGAGCAAGACUCUGUCUCAAAAAAAAAAAAAAAAAAAAGGGCACCCUGUUGCUGGCCCCUAAGUGGCAGCCCACCCAGCCUGGGAGAACCCAGUCAGACAGGCUUUGUUCAAGACUUAAGCCCCAGUGACACAAGCGCCGCUCAGACCUCUCUUUUAGUCCCAAGGCCUGGCUGCUGGUCCAAUUGCCUGUGGGAGGGAGACAUCUCCCGGGAAGAGUGAAGAAUCCAGCCACAAGCAGAGCAGCUGGAAGUUGAUUCCAUUUCUUUUCAGCAGCCUAGGAGCAGGCAAGGGGACUGGAAGGGGAGUGGGUGAGCAGACAGACCCCAGGAAGGGGUGCUCCUGAGGUUUUCAGCUAACAGAGCCCAGAUGGAUGUCUCCACCAACUUCCUGGUGCUGGGACAACCUUCAUCUCUGCCUCUGUCCCCAAGGCUGUGUCCCUGUGUCUUAGCCCUGACGUCUCUUCUCCCGUGGUGGUCUUGCCAGUCUCAUCCACUCAGUGGUUUAUUUAAAGUACACAAAACAUCAGACCAUGAUUUAAAGGAAGCUGGUAUCUAGACUUUACACCACUUAGUUAUGUUUUAAGCAGGAGGCCCUGAGGGUCCAGGCAGUGGGC
rnacentral:lncRNA from 10 species